AUACAUACAUAUAUGUGUGUACACUUUGCGAAAUGUUUUUUUAAAAACCAUUACACUUUUAGGUUUACCAAGAAUACCUAUUACUUAUUAGUGAAUGGAAUAAAUAGAAGAAACGCGCCCCCUACUAGUAAAUCAAAACUUAGUAAAAUUGUAACAUCCCCAAAAGGAAUCUAUUUUAUUAAAAGCUACCAGACAGAAAGGAAAAAACUCCAAAAUUGCUAUAUUUAUUUCAGUAUAGAAAACAUACAUUUUAUUUAUGUCUAAUGUUUAGUGCUGCUUUCUAUUUUGUUUGCUACUAUUUAUUUACUUAUUUUUAUUUUAUUAGUUUUAUUAGUUUUAUUAAUUUUAUUAGUUUUAUUAGCUUUAUUAGCUUUAUUGGUUUUAUUGGUUUAUUUUUUGUUUUUUUUUUUUUUUUUUUUUUUUUUUUUUUUUUUUUUUUUUCUCUUCUAUUUUUGGUUAAAUUAUAUUAUAACAUGAUUAAAAAUUUUUAUAACUAUAUAUUAUUGUUGUUAAACAUAUUUACUAUAACAUAUAAAGAAGACAUUAAAUGUUACUAAAUUUAUUUUAGUAUCCAAAUUAUUUCAUAUAUAAUCAUUCUUAACUCUCAUAUUUUGUUUAAUUUACCACAUUAGAAGAAGCAUGGAAAUCUUUUACUCAUUGUUGAACAUGUAUAAAUACAUAUACCCAUGGAUAAAUGUAUAUAUAUAUAUAUAUAUAGAUAUAAGUAUAUAUGUAUAUACCUUGUGAAAAAGCUUAAGUCGUUUUUUGUUAAACUUAUUUAUUUGUUUGUUGACGUUAUGAUUUGCUUUCCUUGACCCAUGUGGCGUUGUUUUUUUUUUUUUGGUUAUUAAGCUUAACCCAUUUUUAUAUACCUUUCUAAAAAAAAGAGAAUUUUGUUUUAUAUUACCUAUUUAUUAAUAUAUUUAUUUAUCAUUUAAUUAUUUUUUUUUUUUAUUUUUUUUUUUUUCCUUUAUUGAUUUACUUUUUACUUUAUUCAUUUAUUAUUUUUUGUUUUAUUUAUUUUAAUUACAAUUUCAACAUAUAUUGCCGUUUUGUUUAUUUAAAACAUAAUUUGACAUUUUCAUUUUUUUCACUUUUUUUUCACUUUUUUUUUUAUUUUUUUUUCACUUUUUUUUUUAUUUUUUUUUCACUUUUUUUUUUACCUUUUUUUGAACUUCUUUUUGAACAUUUUUUUGAACUUUUUUUUUAACCUUUUUUUAUAAUGGGGGUUAAAUGAAACUUUUGGUUUCUGGAUUUUGAGGAAAUAAAACUAAUUUAUAAGCAUGACA
rnacentral:lncRNA from 1 species